GACGAACGCUGGCGGCGUGCUUAACACAUGCAAGUCGAACGGUAAGGCCCUUCGGGGUACACGAGUGGCGAACGGGUGAGUAACACGUGGGUGAUCUGCCCUGCACUUCGGGAUAAGCCUGGGAAACUGGGUCUAAUACCGGAUAGGACCCUGGGAUGCAUGUCCUGGGGUGGAAAGCUUUUGCGGUGUGGGAUGGGCCCGCGGCCUAUCAGCUUGGUGGUGGGGUGAUGGCCUACCAAGGCGACGACGGGUAGCCGGCCUGAGAGGGUGACCUGCCAAAAUGGGAAUGAGAUACGGCCCAGACUCCUACGGGAGGCAGCAGUUGGGAAUAUUGCACAAUGGGCGCAAGCCGGAUGCAGCGACGCCGCGUGAGGGAUGACGGCCUUCGGGUUGUAAACCUCUUUCAGCACCGACGAAGCGCAAGUGACGGUAGGUGCAGAAGAAGGACCGGCCAACUACGUGCCAGCCGCCGCAGUAA
rnacentral:rRNA from 1 species